rnacentral:lncRNA from 1 species
AAAUGGCACCUAUGGGAGGGAGAUCGGCUCUCUUGUGGGCCCUGGAUUGUUGCUGCACACAGAGGACCCUGACAAAAGGAAACUAGCUAGAUUCAGCUGCUUUAAUUUUUAAAGAAAAAAAGGAGAAUGCUUGAUUUGAACAAGCAGCUCUGUAGCCCCCCCUUAAAUCCUUGUGCUUAUUUUGUACAGUUGGUUUCCAAGGAUCUGCGGUAAAAAUUUGAUCCCGGUGAGGGAAGUGAUGUCAUGUGAGCUGAAAAAGACUUAGAUUAAGACAUCAUUUUAAGACUGGAAAAGAAAUGGAGGCGGGAAGAAGGAGAGGAUGUGGCUUAGCGGUGAGGAGAGAAGAGGAUGUGUUAGGGGAGGGGCAUGUGACAUGUGAGGUCCCAGGAGACAGGAGGUCUGCUUGCGGAGGGAAGGGAAGGCUGUUUGUGCAGAGAGCAGGGCGGGGAAACCACUGUGGGGAACGGGGCAAUUACCACUCUGGGCAGAGGACUGCUGCAGCCAGGAAACCUGAGCUGAGAGCCACAGAGGCGCUGGUUUCAUUGUUGGUUUUAAUAGCUGGUGCACGGCUGUGCCCAUCUAAGGAUGCUCCAGGAGACCUGAGUCUGCUUGCAAUAAAGAAGAGAAAGUUAAAAAACACCAAAACAGAGGACAUGUGCUGUAGCAAGUUACAGGUGAGUCCACGGGGAUCUGCGAAGGCUGAAUUUAUGGGGGAGAGUGGGAAGAGGGAGAAGUCCAGCGAGAGUCCAGGCAGGAAGUUCACAAGCUUGAGGAUGGGAGAGAUUCUUAGCAAGUAUUCGUUGGUCCAGAGGUAA